AUCUACGUUAAUGGUCACAAGCUUUAGAUCUGUUGCUCAAUUGUACAGUUUGGGUGACCUCAGAACUUCAAUAGAGCAGAUGCAGUGGGCGUCAUCAUAGAGCAGAUGCAGUACCUUUUAUGUAUCUCCACCCUCCAUCUUGGAGUUGGUCCUUCACUUUCUUGGUUUCAGGGCAUCACGUGUUUCCCUCUGCCAUGGAAGAAACGAGAUCCUCUCUCCUGCUCUUGAGACGCGUUUGGCUUCUGUUCACUUUUGUUAGCAAUCAGUCACACAGAAAUGAAACACGGAAUCCUGAUAUGGAUUCAACAGCAGCUCGCCUGAUUCUGAUAAACUUUUAUAUCAACUGUUAUUCCUUUCUCAA